rnacentral:rRNA from 1 species
GACGAACGCUGGCGGCGUGCUUAACACAUGCAAGUCGAACGAAGAGCGAUGGAAGCUUGCCUCUAUCAAUCUUAGUGGCGAACGGGUGAGUAACGCGUAAUCAACCUGCCCUUCAGAGGGGGACAACAGUUGGAAACGACUGCUAAUACCGCAUACGAUCUAACCUCGGCAUCGAGGAAAGAUGAAAGGUGGCCUCUAUGUAUAAGCUAUCACUGAAGGAGGGGAUUGCGUCUGAUUAGCUAGUUGGAGGGGUAACGGCCCAACAAGGCGAUGAUCAGUAGCCGGUCUGAGAGGAUGAACGGCCACAUUGGGACUGAGACACGGCCCAGACUCCUACGGGAGGCAGCAGUGGGGAAUCUUCCGCAAUGGACGAAAGUCUGACGGAGCAACGCCGCGUGAGUGAUGACGGCCUUCGGGUUGUAAAGCUCUGUUAAUCGGGACGAAAGGCCUUCUUGCGAAUAGUGAGAAGGAUUGACGGUACCGGAAUAGAAAGCCACGGCUAACUACGUG